rnacentral:tRNA from 1 species
GCGCGGUUAGCUCAGUGGUAGAGCACUACCUUGACACGGUAGGGGUCGGAGGUUCAAUCCCUCUACCGCGCA